AUGUCCAUUGCUGGCAGAUGGGUGCUAGUGCGCUGCGUUCUCAGUGAUCUGCCCAUGUUCGCGGUCACGGUCCUGAAAGUGCCCAAAAAGUUCUUUAAGGAAGUGGACAAAGCGCAGAGACAUUUUCUCGGGGCACAAGAAAAAGAGCUAAUAGGUGGAAAAUGCAAGGUGAACUGGCCGGCUAUCUGCUCUCCAAUCGACCAAGGAGGUCUUGGGAUACAUGACCUGCAGAAUUUCAGCUCAGCAUUGAGGCUGUGCUGGCUAUGGAACUCAUGGAUACACCAGGAUCGACCAUGGGUAGGAACUGAAAUCCCAUGCGAGGAUAAGGAAAGGCAACUUUUCAGUGCUGCAACCUCGGUGACAUUGGGCAAUGGUGCUUUGGCCUCUUUUCUGGAACUGCCAGAGAUUUCCAUUCCCACAAUUGUUCAAGCAUUCGAGAAGAAAAACAAAACAGUCAAAGCUGCUCUCUCUGAAGAUACAUGGAUUUCAGACUUCGCCCAUGGAAACACAAGCAAUCUUCUUCAUGAAUUUGUGGCCCUCAGAAGAUGGCUCACAUCAUCUGGUAUCUCAUUGCGUGAAGACCAUGAAGAUAGCAUCAAAUGGAAAUUCUUUGAUGAUGGUACCUAUAACAUGGCCUCAGCUUACAAGAUGCAGUUCGAAGGGCACACCAAAUCACCAUUCAAAAAGCUCUUGGGACAGCUUGGGCACCGGGGGGCAUAA
rnacentral:rRNA from 1 species